GACGAACGCUGGCGGCGUGCUUAACACAUGCAAGUCGAACGAAGAGCGAUGGAAGCUUGCUUCUAUCAAUCUUAGUGGCGCACGGGUGAGUAACGCGUAAUCAACCUGCCCUUCAGAGGGGGACAACAGUUGGAAACGACUGCUAAUACCGCAUACGAUCUAAUCUCGGCAUCGAGGAUAGAUGAAAGGUGGCCUCUACAUGUAAGCUAUCACUGAAGGAGGGGAUUGCGUCUGAUUAGCUAGUUGGAGGGGUAACGGCCCACCAAGGCGAUGAUCAGUAGCCGGUCUGAGAGGAUGAACGGCCACAUUGGGACUGAGACACGGCCCAGAUUCCUACGGGAGGCAGCAGUGGGGAAUCUUCCGCAAUGGACGAAAGUCUGACGGAGCAACGCCGCGUGAGUGAUGACGGCCUUCGGGUUGUAAAGCUCUGUUAAUCGGGACGAAAGGCCUUCUUGCGAAUAGUGAGAAGGAUUGACGGUACCGGAAUAGAAAGCCACGGCUAACUACGUG
rnacentral:rRNA from 1 species